AGGCUCUUGUCAUUUAUAAGUGUGAUGACUGGGGUUUCACGCUCGUGUGUAAGAUGUGCCUCCCACAAGCCUGGUUACGAGCUGGCACAUUACCUGUCUGAUG
rnacentral:snoRNA from 1 species